AACUGCGAAGCGUUGGCGCGUAAACGUGCGAGCUAGUGAAUCCCCUCUCUCUCUUUUUUUUUUUUUUUUUACAGGUUGGUUGGUAGCUAAGUUAGCUUGGUUGGCUAGUUUUCUAUCUCUACUUCGUCUUUCGUUUCGGAGAAAACCGAGAGGAAAACGAUAAAGAAGAAGAAAAGGAGGAGGAGGGAGGAGGAGGAGGAGACUGGUCAGAUAAAUCACAGAGGUUUAUGGAAAAGAUUAAGGAGGAAGAGGAUAGUUCGUUGAACAAUUCGACGAUACUCGACAGUUAGGAAAGUGCUUUCUGAUCGGUCGAUUUCUUUCUUAAAAAAAGAAGAAGAAGAACAAGAA
rnacentral:lncRNA from 1 species